CAAGUGCAAAGCUGUUGAGACCUGACAGUUCAGCCAGAUGUUUUGCUCAUGUUUCUUGCUCCUUUUUUCCUGAUGAUGAUGCAGAUGUUUUGCUGCUGGUGAUCGACGUGCACCAUUGCCCAUUGGUGUUCUGCGCAAUGGAAUCGUACAUCCUUCUGCGGUUUAGGGAGGCUUGCUAAUCGAUGUAUUUAUGGAGAUAUUAGUUUUCUGUAAGAAAUUAGGGACUUCAACCCUGCUGUACCUGUACUUUGGGCCAGAAAUGGCACCCUUGCGUGAAUAAGGAAAUAUGAACAUACGCAUGUCAUAUGUGUGUAGUUGAUCCCUCCGUUAGUUGUGGUUGGAUCCGGCGAUGACGGAGUUAGAACCUUCUCAUAGUUGGAUGUUGUAAAAAGCGGUGGUAAUUGUUGAUGUUGUAAAAAGCGGUGGUAAUUGUUGAUGUUGUACUNNN
rnacentral:lncRNA from 1 species